UCGCGAUGUUGUGUGUGUUCUUCUUCUUCCUUGUUCGACGGCUACGGUGACUCUUGCCCUUCCUCACGAAUCUGAAACUGAGAGCGUUAUGGUUUUUACGUGUUUAUCCCAUUAAUUCAGACGCCCACUACGAGUUCUUCAAUGUGUCUUUUAGAUCUGAAAGGCGGUUUGAUUCGGUAUAAAUAGAUGUGAGUAUUCUCCCCGGUGGAUUUGACAUAUGGUAGAUGUGCUCAGAACUCCAAGCUUUCCGACUCCUCUUUACUGAUUAGGUUCAAUGAUUCAACCGAUUUUGACGAGUUAACCGAACCGGUCUCUCCGUUACACAGCUUCCAGGAAGGUGCUCAGAUAUUUUAGGAAAGAUGGGCACAACUGGAGGAAGAAGAAAGAUGGUGAAACAGUGAAAGAGGCGCACGAAAAGCUCAAGGUUGGAAGCAUUGAUGUGUUACAUUGUUACUAUGCACAUGAGGAAGACAAUGAGAAUUUCCAUAGGCGUUGCUACUGGAUGCUUGAACAGGAACUGAUGCAUGUUGUUUUUGUUCAAUACUUGGAGGUUAAGGAUAAGCUCCAUUGGAAUAAAAGAAAACAAUUCAAAUUCUCUGAGUGGCUCCACUUCUGUGAAAAUUGAUUCAACGCAAACACAUCCAGCACAUUGUCACCACUAUGUGAAGAUGCUGAUUCUGGUAUAUAUAGUUAUCUUUAGCUUUAUGUAUGUUUAGGGACAUAGUUCUAUUUACAGGCUACCUUGCUUUACUAAAAGAAGGUUUCCUUCCUUCCUCUUCCGCCACAUCGGAUUCCACGUAGAUAAGUUGAAUUCUGUGAGCGCGACACAUGUCCAGCUAAUUAAACUCACCGUUUCAUUUAAUUUUGUGUGCAAUUAGUACAGACAGGCUUUGCUAUGUGCGUUCUGUUUAAACUUAACAUUUAUUGGGCUAUUUGUUUAAUUCAAGAUUUCGUUAGCCCGUUACCGAUAGUCUCUUUCCACUUCAUCUAAUACACGCCAAAUUAGGGUUCAUCAUCCAUCGAUCUCCGACACUUAAAAUUUUUCUUCAGCAUUCUCUAACACCAUCAAUGGCGUCUUCACUUGCAUCGUUAUGCCUUCUCUUCUAAACAACCGAAAUGGUCAGAGUUAAAGAUUCAUCGCUUUUAAUUCCAUAGACCGACGUGAAUACGAUCUGACAUUGAUUGUGAGUUAUCCUAUGCAAGGCGGUCUAUUAUACACCUAUAAAAAAGAUUAGCUUUCUUCACUUGAGUAUCAUCCUCUCAAUCCGUGAAAAUACCAAAUUUAAUAAAUUCUCUUUGUGGCCGCUGCUCCUUUGCUCAGGUUCUGGGAACCCAAGAAUGGCGAACGUGGUGGGGAACUCAUGUCUCUUGAUAUGCUCUUACUGGAUUCAAAGUAUUUUCUCAGAGAAGUUUCCUUCUUCUCCGGGCCUGCACUUUUGGGUGCGUAUCCUAGAUUUUGGUUCCUAAGGGAACUGGUAUUGCAUGACAAACACUCAAGUUAUGAUCCAUCAACCACUUGGGUACUGCCGGAGCCAAAGCAACCAAAAUGAAUAUUGGCAUAAGAGAAUGAUGUCCCACAAAAUUUAACUAAACAAAACCUUCUCUAAAAUCACCGGAAACCUGAAUCACA